rnacentral:rRNA from 1 species
GACGAACGCUGGCGGCGUGCUUAACACAUGCAAGUCGAACGGAAAGGCCUGCUUUCCCUUGUGGAUUGCGGGUACUCGAGUGGCGAACGGGUGAGUAACACGUGAGUGAUCUGCCCCCAACUUGGGUAUAAGCCUGGGAAACUGGGUCUAAUUCCCGAUAGGACUGCAGGGUGGUGCCUGUGGUGGAAAACGAUUUUCUAGUGGUUGGGGAUGAGCUCGCGGCCUAUCAGCUUGUUGGUGGGGUAAUGGCCUACCAAGGCGGCGACGGGUAGCCGGCCUGAGAGGGUGGACGGCCACAUUGAGACUGGGAUACGGCCCAGACUCCUACGGGAGGCAGCAGUGGGGAAUAUUGCACAAUGGGCGGAAGCCUGAUGCAGCGACGCCGCGUGGGGGAUGACGGCCUUCGGGUUGUAAACUCCUUUCGACCGAGAGGAAGCCACCUGGUUGGAAGGGUGGUGACGGUAGUGGUAGAAGAAGCACCGGCUAACUACGUG